rnacentral:lncRNA from 1 species
CUUUAGUUUUUACUGCGAUACAUAAUGUAAACAAAUUUGAAACAAUUAGUUUUUUACAUCUUAACUUAAAUAUGUAUAUGUACUUACAAACUUUUGGUGAAAUAUGUACUUACAAACUUUUCGGAGAAUUAUUUUUUAAAUGUUCAAAAGUGCACGUGUGAGCAAAAUUCUUGCAAUUCUACCUACUUUUAAAAAUAUUUAUGGGCACACGUGCAAGUGUAAUAAAAUAAAAGGUUAAAAAUAUAAAAAAUUUGGUACCUUUCGCUACAUUAAUAGAUUUUUCAUUGACAAAUUUUUAUGUAGGAUUUCUUUACCUGUUUCUCGCAAUUUUUAUAUACAUAUGCAAUAAAACGCACGUCCACUAAUUAACUUGCAAAUGAGAAUUUUUACUGAUAAAAAGAAUGUGAUUUUUGUUGAUAAUUAUCAGUAUUCCUUAAUGCUCUCAGAUUAUCAUUAAACAUUUGGUGGUUGUUAGUUAAGCGGAAUUUUUAUAACAAUCAUUAGUAACACUCAUAAACAUCAGCUGUUUAAUUGUAAACAAAUACAUAUUUGAUAUGGACAUCGAAAAACCAACAUGUUCCAAAAGAAAACCUAUUGAAGAUACAGCAAAAAACAAAAACAAAAUUUGGAAAACAGAUCCUUCAUCUAUGGUUCCAGGAAGAACACGAGAGCAUUGGUGUCGAAAUUAUAAAACUGUAUCUUCAGAAAUUAACAAAUAACACAGGGGGCGUGUAUAAUGCAAAAACGCAUAGAAUCCAUGACACCAAUUUGCACAGAUCUAGUCCAAGGCCUUGGAAAUGAUAAGAAAUUUGUUCCUAAUUUAUUUCAACUGAAUGUAUUAAAAUCUGUUAACUUAGACAUAAGCAAAUCAUUUUUUUAUGACAGGGCUAAAUUUAAGAACAAAAUUUUUACUUCAACUUUAUAUAAAGAAACCAGAUGUAAUAAUUAUACAAUUAAAUUAAAGUGUGAAAAUGUUGAUAAAUAUUUUAUGGUUAAUUGUUUUAUAAAAAGCUCGAACAUAUUUUAUUUAUUAGUUCAAAACAUAGACUUAAUAACUAGCAAUAAGUUUAUUCAUAAAAAAAACAAAAACAGAAGUUAAUCAUAUAAUACCUUUCAAAACUACAAAUACGUUUUAUGUUAUAAAAUUUGAAGACAUACACAAUAUGUUUUGUGUAAUUCAGGUAGGGAAAUAUAUUUGUAAACUUGUAAAUCAUUUUAAUACUGUUUUUU